GAGGGUAUAGCUCAAGUGGUAGAGCACAUGCUUAGCAUGCAUGAGGUCAUGGGUUCAAUCCCCAGGACCCUCC
rnacentral:tRNA from 1 species